rnacentral:rRNA from 1 species
GACGAACGCUGGCGGCGUGCUUAACACAUGCAAGUCGAACGGCAAGGCCCUGCUUUUGUGGGGUGCUCGAGUGGCGAACGGGUGCGUAACACGUGAGUAACCUGCCCUUGACUUUGGGAUAACUUCAGGAGACUGGGGCUAAUACCGGAUAGGAGCUCCUGCUGCAUGGUGGGGGUUGGAACGUUUCGGCGGUUGGGGAUGGACUCGCGGCUUAUCAGCUUGUUGGUGGGGUGGUGGCUUACCAAGGCUUUGACGGGUAGCCGGCCUGAGAGGGUGACCGGCCACAUUGGGACUGAGAUACGGCCCAGACUCCUACGGGAGGCAGCAGUGGGGAAUAUUGCACAAUGGGCGGAAGCCUGAUGCAGCAACGCCGCGUGCGGGAUGACGGCCUUCGGGUUGUAAACCGCUUUCGCCUGUGACGAAGCGUGAGUGACGGUAAUGGGUAAAGAAGCACCGGCUAACUACGUG